GACGUGGCAGAGCUAAUAAAAAUUUUCCCUCAACAUUUGAAGAUAUAAGAAUAGAUUAGAAAAUAUAAAUAUGGUUGGUUAUGUAUGAUGGUAGCGGUGAUGAUGGUGGUGAUUAUGAUGAUGAUGGUAGUGAUGAUGAGUGGUGCCAGUGAAGAUGAUGGUGGUGGCGGUGAUGAUGGUGGUGAUUAUGAUGAUGAUGGUAGUGAUGAGUGGUGCCAGUGAAGAUGAUGGUGGUGGUGAUGAUGAUGGUGGUGAAGAUGUUGGUGGUGGUGAAGAUGUUGGUGGUGGUGAAGAUGUUGGUGGUGGUGAUGAUGGCGAGUGGUGGUGAAGAUGAUGAUGGUGGUGAAGAUGGUGAGUGGUGAAGAUGUUGGUGGUGGUGAAGAUGAUGGUGGUAAAGAUGUUGGUGGUGAAGAUGUUGGUGGUGAAGAUGUUGGUGGUGGUGAUGAUGGCGAGUGGUGGUGAUGAUGGCGAGUGGUGGUGAAGAUGAUGAUGGUGAAGAUGGUGAGUGGUGAAGAUGCUGGUGGUGGUGAAGAUGUUGGUGGUGGUGAAGAUGUUGGUGGUGGUGAUGGCGAGUGGUGGUGAAGAUGAUGAUGGUGGUGACGAUGGUGAGUGGUGAAGAUGUUGGUGGUGGUGAAGAUGUUGGUGGUGGUGAUGGUGGUGAUGAUGGCGGGUGGUGGUGAAGAUGAUGUUGGUGGUGAUGGUGAUAAUGGC